rnacentral:miRNA from 1 species
UUCCUCAGAAAUGUGUAUGUAUGUAUGUGUGUGUGUGUGUGUGUGUGUAUAUAUAUAUAUACACACACACACAUAAUAUAUACAUAUAUACAUA